UGAGGAAUAGUGGUCAAUGGACGCAAGUCUGAACCAGCCAAGUAGCGUGCAGGAUGACGGCCCUAUGGGUUGUAAACUGCUUUUAUAUGGGGAUAAAGUGGGGAACGUGUUCCCUUUUGCAGGUACCAUAUGAAUAAGGACCGGCUAAUUCCGUGCCAGCAGCCGCGGGAAUACGGAAGGUUCGGGCGUUAUCCGGAUUUAUUGGGGUUAAAGGGAGCGUAGGCCGUUUGGUAAGCGUGUUGUGAAAUGUAGGAGCUCAACUUCUAGAUUGCAGCGCGAACUGUCAGACUUGAGUGCGCACAACGUAGGCGGAAUUCAUGGUGUAGCGGUGAAAUGCUUAGAUAUCAUGAAGAACACCGAUUGCGGAGGCAGCUUACGGGAGCGCAACUGACGCUGAAGCUCGAAGGUGCGGGUAUCGAACAGG
rnacentral:rRNA from 1 species